rnacentral:rRNA from 1 species
UACAGAGGGUGCGAGCGUUAAUCGGAAUUACUGGGCGUAAAGCGCACGUAGUCGGCUUUGCAAGUCGGUUGUGAAAUCCCCGGGCUCAACCUGGGAACUGCAUCCGAGACUGCAUUGCUAGAGUAUGGGAGAGGAAAGCGGAAUUUCUGGUGUAGCAGUGAAAUGCGUAGAUAUCAGAAGGAACAUCAGUGGCGAAGGCGGCUUUCUUGG